GUUGUUUUGGUUUAAAAGUUGGUGCAUUUGCCUUGUCAAGGGUAUGGAACCUCAAUAUAUUGCUAAGUCAUAUUUCCAGGAUGUUGAUAGAAAAGUACUCCAGCCCAGCAGACUCCAGCCGAGCCGCACCCAGUGACGGCCGACGCCGAGCGGCCGGUCGGCGCUCCAGACGGGCCGCGCCGCCGGCCAGCCCACCGCCAGGCACUGCACCAGUAGCGGCCGCGCCUGCCCGGCCAGUACCCGGGCCGCGCACACUGCGGCUGACGUGCAGCCCGCCGCCGCCGCAGUCGCCGACCCAUGGACGGAUACACGGCCACCUACGUCCGGCUGGCC
rnacentral:misc_RNA from 1 species